rnacentral:tRNA from 5 species
GCUACUGUGGCUCAGUAGGUAGAGCGUCGCCUUGGUAAGGCGGAGGUCACGGGUUCAAGUCCCGUCAGUAGCU